rnacentral:lncRNA from 1 species
UAGAAAGAAACGUCAGUGGAAUCGACACUUCCUCUGUAUGAGACAAAGUAAAUACAUGACAGAAAAUUUUCAUAGAAGCUAAAUAAAGCCCAAUUACCAUACCUUCUAAGUUGUCAUCGUGCAGUAUUUAGACUCAAUAGAUUUCAAAGUUUUAGAUAUACCAUACUUAAUUAAAUUAAGACUGCAUGUCUUUGUAUGUUUUAUGAGAAUCUUCUGAGAAAAUUAAGUAAAUUUCAAGGAAAAUAAUCAAUAUAAUAGGGGU